rnacentral:lncRNA from 12 species
UCUACCAGACACCCAGGGACCGACCACAUGCACACGUUUUGCUGAGCGCCCUGGGACACCUGCUUUGAGCUCAGCACCAGAAGCAAAAAUGCCAGUUUUCCAAAGUCGUUUACCUCUUCAUCUCCACGCAAGCCCAGCCCUUUGCUGAGAACACCACCUGAGAAUAUGACCCCCUGCUGUCUUCUUACAAAAGAGGGGUGCACAGUGGCUGACCAGCAUCCCCCCUGUGGACGCGUGAUGGCAGCCAGAGAGCCAACUCUUCUGAUCCAGAUGCCACAACGCGUCAGCAGCCAAGGGGCCCAGCUCCUCUGUGUGGUUUGGACCCCUCCUGAGACACCUGCUGGGAUGAAGGUGAGGAGGCCUUGGGAAGAAGUUUUCACAUUCCGAACAUCUAGUGCAUUACUUACUUCUCCUUUCCAAAAAUAGGACUUUAUUUCAGAUUGACUUUGUUCUCCUUCAAAGAGAAACCGCAUUUAAAUAAAAGCCUAAGUGCCACCUGCA